rnacentral:lncRNA from 1 species
UUUUUUUUACAAAAAAAUUUAAAUGGAGAGAGACUUUUUGUUGGCAAAAAAAAUUAUUUUUGCUCUCUGUCUCUCUCCUUUUUUUUUUUUUUUUUGGUGUUUUUAUUACUAAAAAACUUUUUUUACUACUUUUCUUGGAUCUCAAAAUACACAAAACGUCUAUUGUUUAUUUUUUUUUAUGUUUCCUUUUAUAGAGUUGUUGAAAGAGAAUGAGAAUUAUUAAUUAUUUGUUAAUUUAAAAUCUCUACCAUUAAAAUUUGGUCUAUGGUAACCUUUGAAAAAUGUCUGAAAAUAAGGAGAAACCAUUAAAAAAAUUUAAAAAAUUGAAUGUCUGAAAUUUAUUUUUGGCCCUUAAAAGAUGUAUUACCUUACAAUAAUUUUUUUUUUUUCAAAAAAGUUAAUCGUUUUCUUGGUCAUUGUGUUUUGUAUUUUUUUUCUCCUUGAAAAUUUCCUUGAUUUUUGUAAAAAAAAAUUGACUCAAUUUCUUCCGCUAAGUUAACUUACUACUAGACUAUUUUGUUUUUGGUCCUUAACAAUUCAAUGAGGUUUUGACGCUAUCAGUAAUUUUAACGUGUUGUAUCAGAUAAUUUAUCGCAUUAUUUAAAUUAUUGAUUUCACGUAUUAUGGACGAUUACUUAUUAGUAGAUUAUGUAUGUAUAAAUUAGAUUCUUAUUUUUAGUAAGUUAUAAAAGCAUAAAGAUACGUCUUUUUGUUUUGUUUUGGUAUGAAAAUAAGUUGAGAGGUAAUUAAACUUUUUAGAUCAAAAUAUGUAAUUAGACUAUAACAUUGUUUAAUGGUUCCUUAAGCCAAGUGUUAGGUAUGAUGAAAUGUACUUCUUAAAAAAAUGAAAAAUAAGUGAUUUUUAUAGUUUCUUUUCUUGUGUUUGAUAUGUAAACAGAAAUUACAAAAAAUAUUAUUCUAAAAUUAUUUAUAAAUACAAAAAAUAUUAUUCAAAAAUUAUUUGUAAAUAAUCAACGCAAAUAGUAUGUGAGGUGGGUGAAUGGAGCGACGGGACUAAAGCUAAGAUAUGCUGGAGAGUGAAGAGGAAAUAAUCAAUGUAAAACGCCGAUUCUGUAACUUAUUUUCCCUAUUUUCCACUAAGACGGUCAUUUUCCUCAUUUGGGAAGAAAUUAUUUUCCUAGAGAAUGUUUUCCACAAAUUAUGACCAACCGAACAUUGGAAAAUUGAAAAACAUUUUCGAAACACACCGAAUCACCAACAAAAUGUAAUCCCACAUAAUGGGGUCUGGAGAGGAUAAAAUGUAUACAAUCCAUACCACUACCUCUGGAAAAGUAGAGGUUGUUUCCGAUAGACCCUCGGUUCGGAAACACUGAAUCAUGUUCGCUUUAAAUAAAAGAGAAACCAACACAAAUGACUAGUCCUCAGUAAGUCCAUCCAUGCUAGCAAGUAGUUUCUCAAAAAUCAAUGGGAAAAACUCAAGUAAAGUGGGGUUUCUGCUCCAGAAAACAUAAGAGAAAUACACAAAUAGUUCAAGAUUGAAACCUACAUACGUGGUAUUAUAAAAGCUGUUUUACAUCUCCAGAGCGAAAUCAAGUAACAGAUAUUCAAUCACCUCUUCAAACAAAUAGGUUCAGUAAAUAAGUUUCAGGAUCACUAUUUGUUUGGUGUCACCGAACCAAGCUAUGGUGAAGUGUGUUUCGUACCAGAAGCAAAUAAACACACACAAUAUAUAGCAGUGACCACACGAACAUUGGAAGCAGAUAGCAGUGACUUAACUAACAAUAAUGAAGCACAAGCUCAAGAUCCGACACCAUCAUAACCACACGAACAAUCACAAGAAAAGAAGUUUGAACAAGGUACAGAAAAACGACACUAACACCAAAUAGGAGGUAAGGAAAAACAACAGUAGCACCAAACUAGAAGUUCUCAAAUUGCUGGCGGUCAAUCUGACUAACUGGAAUUUAAGCAAUGAAGCAAGCAACCGAUACCACCUUGUAGGUUGUUGCCUCAAAAGAGAAGAAAACAGACAUCGCCCACGGCACAUACUUUGAGCAUGUUGAAAUAAAAUUUAUGAGGAAGAGCUCUUUCGCCGUCACACAAAUCAUUUUGACUAAACAGAGCCUACCUUCCAUGUGAAAAUUUUCAACAGACGACUAAUUUCAUUUGCACGAUCAAUACUAUGAAAUCCAUGCUAAAAAGAAAUCAACAAGGCGUAUAAAAUCCAGAAAUAUUUCAUUGAAUACAUAAAACUCCGCUGAAUAUUAAGCUCCAAUAUUUUUACCAAAACGUCAGUAGAAAACAACUCUACUAAAUUUCGUUUCAGAGAUAAGCUCCUACUAAACAAAACAGAAAGUAACAAAAAACCCAUUGAUUUUUCAAUAAAACCUUGAAGAGAACUCCAAGUACUCCACCUCA